rnacentral:rRNA from 1 species
UACGUAGGGGGCAAGCGUUGUCCGGAAUCAUUGGGCGUAAAGCGCGUGUAGGCGGCCCGGUAAGUCCGCUGUGAAAGUCCAGGGCUCAACCCUGGAAUGCCGGUGGAUACUGUCGGGCUCGAGUCCGGAAGAGGCGAGUGGAAUUCCUGGUGUAGCGGUGAAAUGCGCAGAUAUCAGGAGGAACACCGGUGGCGAAGGCGGGACUCUGGGCCGAUACUGACGCUGAGGAGCGAAAGCGUGGGGAGCAAACAGG